GUAAGUUGAUUCAAAAACAGACGUGGUGGAAAAUAACAGACAUAGUUAACAUGAUCAUUGAGGGACUGACCCAGGAGACUACCGUUACCUCGUAAUAUUCUAGCCUAGUCUAGUCUACUACCAUUUGUGAAUGAGCCUCAGCCUACCAUUGAGUAGUUCUUUAAGUGAUUCUUGCUGUUUGACUUAAAAUCUGUUAGGUUGUGGUAGAUGGUCUAUGUCCCUGUUGUCUAAUAACUAAAAAGACUAUGAUCGUUUUCUGUUGCUCAGAUCGGAUGGCACAGACGUGAGCUUUUUUUGACGGUGAACUGGAUAGCGCGCUGUAGCCUCGCGCUACAUUCACUAAACUAAACUGGCGGUGAUGAAACCAAUCUGAGGGAGAGUUAAGAACACAAGAAGCAGAGUUGAAGAGCAGCAGGGUUGGCAGCAGAAAGAUUUUAGUAGAGAAGUGAGAGCGAGACCAAAGACAGGCAGGAGCAUCCAGUCCA